AUUACCAAUUUAGCGAACCUGGUCGCUUCUGACCAGGAUCUCGCGAAACCUGUAUUUAAAACCCACGCUUUUUUUAAAAUAAAAUUUAUCGUAUCAUUAUGAUAAGAAUUUAAGAUCACUUUCAACAACGGAUCUCUUGGCUCUCGCAUCGAUGAAGAACGUAGCGAAGUGCGAUAAGUAAUGCGAAUUGCAGAAUUCCGUGAGUCAUCGAAUCUUUGAACGCAAAUUGCGCUUCCUGGUAUUCCGGGAAGUAUGCCUGUUUGAGGGUCAGUUUAAAUAAACAUCGAGGUGUUGCUUUUUGUGACGCUUCGGAAUUGGGAAGUCUUGAUCCCUGGAUCAAGUGACCUGAAAUUGACACGUUUCCGUGCAUCUCGGACGUACAUAAGAAAUAUGUUUCUAAUACGUCAGGGUUUGCCGGGUUCUAUUAGGUGAGACCAUGUUGCUCGUGGUAUCUGUACCUAUAACGUAACUCAUAUUUUGACCUCAAAUCAGGUAGGAACACCCGCUG
rnacentral:rRNA from 1 species